rnacentral:rRNA from 1 species
AUUGAACGCUGGCGGCAGGCCUAACACAUGCAAGUCGAGCGGAUGAAGGGAGCUUGCUCCUGGAUUCAGCGGCGGACGGGUGAGUAAUGCCUAGGAAUCUGCCUGGUAGUGGGGGAUAACGUCCGGAAACGGGCGCUAAUACCGCAUACGUCCUGAGGGAGACAGUGGGGGAUCUUCGGAUCUCACGCUAUCAGAUGAGCCUAGGUCGGGUUAGCUAGUUGGUGGGGUAAAGGCCUACCAAGGCGACGAUCCGUAACUGGUCUGAGAGGAUGAUCAGUCACACUGGAACUGAAACACGGUCCAGACUCCUACGGGGGGCAGCAGUGGGGAAUAUUGGACGAUGGGCGAAAGCCUGAUCCAGCCAUGCCGCGUGUGAAGAAGGUCUUCGGAUUGUAAAACACUUUAAGUUGGGAGGAAGGGCAGUAAGUUAAUACCUUGCUGUUUUGACGUUACCAACAGAAUAAGCACCGGCUAACUUCGUG